rnacentral:rRNA from 1 species
ACAGCAGUAGCCGCGGUAAUACGGAGGGAGCUAGCGUUAUUCGGAAUUACUGGGCGUAAAGCGCACGUAGGCGGCUUUGUAAGUUAGAGGUGAAAGCCUGGAGCUCAACUCCAGAAUUGCCUUUAAGACUGCAUCGCUUGAAUCCAGGAGAGGUGAGUGGAAUUCCGAGUGUAGAGGUGAAAUUCGUAGAUAUUUGGAAGAACACCAGUGGCGAAGGCGGCUCACUGGACUGGUAUUGACGCUGAGGUGCGAAAGCGUGGGGAGCAAACAGGAUUAGAUACCCCAGUAGUCCCUGUCUCUUAUAC